GGGGGUGUAGCUCAGUGGUGGAGCACUUGUCUAGCAUGUGUGAGGCCCUGAGUUUGAGUCUCAGCGCCACAU
rnacentral:tRNA from 1 species